AAAUCAUUUAGGAUCAAACGUAAACUGCUUUCUGCGUGCACAUGCACAACCAACACAGGACAUUUCUGAUAUCAGCACCUGCAAAAUUUACAGCUUUUUUUAUUACAGGCCUUUAACUUGACAUCAUAUCAGAUUUCACAUAUACAGUAGAUAUGCAUAAUGUACAGUGUGUUGAAGUGUAUGGAAGUGUGUGGAGUGUGUGGAGUGUGUGGAAGUGUGUGGAAGUGUGUGCAGUGUGUGGGGUGUGUGGAGUGUGUGUGGAGUGUGUGUGGAGUGUGUUGAGUGUGUUGAGUGUGUGUGUGGAUGUGUGUGGAGUGUGUUGAGUGUGUUGAGUGUGUGUGUUGAGUGUGUGUGUGGAGUGUGUUGAGUGUGUUGAGUGUGUGUGUGGAGUGUGUGUGUGGAGUGUGUGUGUGGAGUGUGUUGAGUGUGUUGAGUGUGUUGAGUGUGUGUGUGGAGUGUGUGUGGAGUGUGUUGAGUGUGUUGAGUGUGUGUGUGGAGUGUGUGUGUGGAGUGUGUGUGUGGAGUGUGUGUGUGGAGUGUGUGUGUGUUGUGUGUGUGUGGAGUGUGUGUGUGGAGUGUGUGUGUGGAGUGUGUGUGUGGAGUGUGUGUUGUGCGUGUGUGGAGUGUGUGUGUGUUGUGUGUGUGUGGAGUGUGUGUGUGUGGAGUGUGUGUGUUGUGUGUGUGUGGAGUGUGUGUGUGUUGUGUGUGUGUGGAGUGUGUGUGUGGAGUGUGUGUGUGGAGUGUGUGUGUGGAGUGUGUGUGUGUUGUGUGUGUGUGGAGUGUGUGUGUGGAGUGUGUGGCUCCUCGGGUAGAAGAUCUCAGACUUAACCUUGAACUUCAGGAGGAAAUUAGAGAGUAAACUGAGAGACAGAGCUCUGGCUCAGAGCAGCUUUACUCCAAAUCCUACACGCUGAUUGUGU
ensembl:lncRNA